UACGUAGGGUGCAAGCGUUGUCCGGAAUUAUUGGGCGUAAAGAGCUCGUAGGCGGUUUGUCACGUCGGCUGUGAAAACCCGAGGCUCAACCUCGGGCCUGCAGUCGAUACGGGCAGACUAGAGUCAGGUAGGGGAGAACGGAAUUCCUGGUGUAGCGGUGAAAUGCGCAGAUAUCAGGAGGAACACCGGUGGCGAAGGCGGUUCUCUGGGCCUGUACUGACGCUGAGGAACGAAAGCGUGGGGAGCGAACAGG
rnacentral:rRNA from 1 species